rnacentral:rRNA from 1 species
AUUGAACGCUGGCGGCAUGCCUUACACAUGCAAGUCGAACGGUAACGCGGGGCAACCUGGCGACGAGUGGCGAACGGGUGAGUAAUGCAUCGGAGCGUGCCCGGUAGUGGGGGAUAACUGCUCGAAAGAGCAGCUAAUACCGCAUACGACCUGAGGGUGAAAGGGGGGGGAUCGCAAGACCUCUCGCUAUCGGAGCGGCCGAUGUCGGAUUAGCUAGUUGGUGGGGUAAAAGCCCACCAAGGCAACGAUCCGUAGCUGGUCUGAGAGGACGACCAGCCACACUGGGACUGAGACACGGCCCAGACUCCUACGGGAGGCAGCAGUGGGGAAUUUUGGACAAUGGACGCAAGUCUGAUCCAGCCAUGCCGCGUGCGGGAAGAAGGCCUUCGGGUUGUAAACCGCUUUUGUCAGGGAAGAAAUCUUCUGAGUUAAUACCUCGGGAGGAUGACGGUACCUGAAGAAUAAGCACCGGCUAACUACGUGCCAGCCGCCGCGGUAAUAC